rnacentral:rRNA from 1 species
AAGCGGGGGAUCUUCGGACCUCGCGCUAUUGGAGCGGCCGAUAUCUGAUUAGCUAGUUGGUGAGGUAAAGGCUCACCAAGGCGACGAUCAGUAGCUGGUCUGAGAGGACGACCAGCCACACUGGAACUGAGACACGGUCCAGACUCCUACGGGAGGCAGCAGUGGGGAAUUUUGGACAAUGGGGGCAACCCUGAUCCAGCAAUGCCGUGUGAGUGAAGAAGGCCUUCGGGUUGUAAAGCUCUUUUGUCAGGGAGGAAACGGCGAGCUCUAACAUAGCUUGCUAAUGACGGUACCUGAAGAAUAAGCACCGGCUAACUACGUGCCAGCAGCCGCGGUAAUACGUAGGGUGCGAGCGUUAAUCGGAAUUACUGGGCGUAAAGCGUGCGCAGGCGGUUGUGCAAGACAGAUGUGAAAUCCCCGGGCUUAACCUGGGAAUUGCAUUUGUGACUGCACGGCUAGAGUGUGUCAGAGGGGGGUAGAAUUCCACGUGUAGCAGUGAAAUGCGUAGAGAUGUGGAGGAAUACCGAUGGCGAAGGCGGCCCCCUGGGAUAACACUGACGCUCAUGCACGANAGCGUGGGGAGCAAACAGGAUUAGAUACCCUGGUAGUCCACGCCCUAAACGAUGUCAACUAGUUGUCGGGUCUUAAUUGACUUGGUAACGCAGCUAACGCGUGAAGUUGACCGCCUGGGGAGUACGGGUCGCAGAUUAAACUCAAAGGAUUGA